rnacentral:rRNA from 1 species
UACGAAGGGGGCUAGCGUUGGUCGGAAUUACUGGGCGUAAAGCGCACGUAGGCGGCUUUCUAAGUCGGGGGUGAAAUCCUGGAGCUCAACUCCAGAACUGCCUUCGAUACUGGAAAGCUCGAGUCCGGGAGAGGUGAGUGGAACUGCGAGUGUAGAGGUGAAAUUCGUAGAUAUUCGCAAGAACACCAGUGGCGAAGGCGGCUCACUGGCCCGGUACUGACGCUGAGGUGCGAAAGCGUGGGGAGCAAACAGG